AGGUCACGUGACUCUCUUGAACGACGUCACGUUUUGCUUUUAUACAUUCCUCUUUUUGUGCCCUCUUCGCCGUGUGCGCUAGCAUCUACCCGUGCGGUACGUGCUAGUCAUGAGGGCCAAGUGGCGUAAGAAGCGGAUGCGGAGGUUGAAGCGCAAGCGCAGGAAGAUGCGUGAGAGGUCCAAGUAGACUGGACCCACGAGUGGUGGAGACGGGCCUGGCUGACUGGAGGGAUGCCUGAUGACGGCGUCGUUGACUUCCUGCCCUGGUUGUGAUCUCGCCACCUGGCCGCUGCAUCGGACGGUGCCCUUGCGCUUACAUGACGGACCCCAAGAUCUCGAUGUGCGCAAGAUACACCUUCGAACACAUUGGAUCAUCACAACUGUGCAUCCAUAAAACCUCAUCUCGGAAAGAA